rnacentral:rRNA from 1 species
GACGAACGCUGGCGGCGUGCUUAACACAUGCAAGUCGAACGGAAAGGCCUGCUUUCCCUUGUGGAUUGCGGGUACUCGAGUGGCGAACGGGUGAGUAACACGUGAGUUAUCUGCCCCCAACUUGUGUAUAAGCCUGGGAAACUGGGUCUAAUUCCCGAUAGGACUGCAGGGUGGUGCCUGUGGUGGAAAACGAUGUUCUAGUGGUUGGGGAUGAGCUCGCGGCCUAUCAGCUUGUUGGUGGGGUAAUGGCCUACCAAGGCGGCGACGGGAAGCCGGCCUGGGAGGGUGGGCGGCCACAUUGGGACUGAGAUACGGGCAAGAAUCCUACGGGAGGCAGCAGUGGGGAAUAUUGCACAAGGGGUGGAAGCCUAAGGGAGGGACGCCGCGUGGGCGAUGACGGCCGUCGGGUUGUAACCUUCUUGUGACAGCGAGGAAGCCACCUGGUUGGAAGGGUGGUGACGGUAGUGGGAGAAGAAGCACCGGCUAACUACGUG